rnacentral:rRNA from 1 species
UACGUAGGGUGCAAGCGUUGUCCGGAAUUAUUGGGCGUAAAGGGUGCGUAGGCGGUGCGGUAAGUCUGUUGUGAAAUCUCCGGGCUCAACUCGGAGUCUGCAUCAGAAACUGCCGUGCUGGAGUGUGGGAGAGGUGAGUGGAAUUCCCGGUGUAGCGGUGAAAUGCGUAGAGAUCGGGAGGAACACCUGCGGCGAAAGCGGCUCACUGGACCAUAACUGACGCUGAUGCACGAAAGCUAGGGGAGCAAACAGG